UUGCCCUACGGGACGCAGCAGUGAGGAAUAUUGGUCAAUGGGCGGGAGCCUGAACCAGCCAAGUCGCGUGAGGGAAGACGGUCCUAUGGAUUGUAAACCUCUUUAGGCGGGGAGCAAUGCCGGGCACGUGUGCCCGGAGGGAGAGUACCCGCAGCAUAAGCAUCGGCUAACUCCGUGCCAGCAGCCGCGGUAAUACGGAGGAGGCGAGCGUUAUCCGGAUUUAUUGGGUUUAAAGGGUGUGUAGGCGGAUUUUUAAGUAAGCGGUAAAAUGACCGGGCUCAACCCGGGCCGGCCGUUGAAACUGG
rnacentral:rRNA from 1 species